rnacentral:rRNA from 1 species
UGAGUAACCUGCCCUUAACUCUGGGAUAAGCCUGGGAAACUGGGUCUAAUACCGGAUAUGACUCCUCAUCGCAUGGUGGGGGGUGGAAAGCUUUAUUGUGGUUUUGGAUGGACUCGCGGCCUAUCAGCUUGUUGGUGAGGUAAUGGCUCACCAAGGCGACGACGGGUAGCCGGCCUGAGAGGGUGACCGGCCACACUGGGACUGAGACACGGCCCAGACUCCGUACGGGAGCAG